GCUCCGCCUGGCGAAUUUCGUAACGUUCAACAAGGAACUGACAGGGCAGAAGACGCAUACUUUCGCAGGAACAAGUCGUUUAAUCAGUAGUACUGAUUUGAACCAUCCUUUCUCUCAAAAGAGGGCUUCUUCAACUUGCACUAUGGUCGCAAAAGUGCACGUCAUCUACUGUGGUGGAUGAGGGUACGGGUCUCGUUACAGGAGACUCCAAACCGAACUCGAGGAUGAGUUCCCAGGGGAGCUUCAGUUUACCUGUGAGUCCACACCCUCUGUAACCGGGUGGUUUGAGGUGGAGGUUAAUGGCCAGCUGGUUCACUCCAAGAAGAAUGGAGGUGGCUUUGUGGACAACAAAGAUAAGUUGGGCGUGAUUGUGAAAGCCAUAGAGAAGGCCCUCAAGAAGUGAGAGGGCAUUUGGCUUGGAGUCCGGUCUCUCGGUAUUGUCCCUCUCUCCGGCGUGGCGGUUAAUGAUGGUGGCGUUCGAAGUGUCCUGCGACACGGGCGCGACCUGAUGAAACCCCCGCUCCGCCUGGGAGACACCACACAGAGCGGCCGCACUCCCGCAAGCUUCCUGCGUGUGAUCUUAGGGUAGCUGGAACUUAAAGGGAAACUAAUUUCAUAUUUCAGUUAAAAAAUAAAAUAAAUAAACGCUUGAAGAUCCCUCAGGGAUAGAUUAAAAACAUUUGGCAAGGGAACUGUUGGGUAACACCUUUCUGACUGCAUGUUAAAAAAAUUGGCUCAUUGCGAAAAAAAAAGCUUGAUUCGACCUCUUCAUUUAUCUUUUUAUUUUUAAUUGGCUAAACCUUGUGGGGUAAACAAUGAUUUUGGAACAAACAAAAAAAAAAAAGCCUUAUUGGUUUUGCUUUCAUUCCCAGCUUUCCCUUUCCAAAUAUUUUUUCAUCCAGAACUUUAGAGUAAUUCUUUCCUUCUUGGUAUUCCAAGACGAUCUCAGUCGAUGCAAACUCUGUUAAAUGUUGCUACAUGUUAAUGUGCAUGAUGUCACUCUUCCAAUAAAUGGUUUAUGCAGCA